AUUGAACGCUGGCGGCAUGCCUUACACAUGCAAGUCGAACGGUAACAGGUCUUCGGAUGCUGACGAGUGGCGAACGGGUGAGUAACACAUCGGAACGUGCCCGAGAGUGGGGGAUAACGAGGCGAAAGCUUUGCUAAUACCGCAUACGAUCUCAGGAUGAAAGCAGGGGACCGCAAGGCCUUGCGCUCACGGAGCGGCCGAUGGCAGAUUAGGUAGUUGGUGGACAAAAGCUUACCAAGCCGACGAUCUGUAGCUGGUCUGAGAGGACGACCAGCCACACUGGGACUGAGACACGGCCCAGACUCCUACGGGAGGCAGCAGUGGGGAAUUUUGGACAAUGGGCGCAAGCCUGAUCCAGCCAUGCCGCGUGCAGGAUGAAGGCCUUCGGGUUGUAAACUGCUUUUGUACGGAACGAAAAGACUCUGGUUAAUACCUGGGGUCCAUGACGGUACCGUAAGAAUAAGCACCGGCUAACUACGUGCCAGCCGCCGCGGUAAUAC
rnacentral:rRNA from 1 species